UAUCACAUGGUGUAUACCCACUGUGAUAUGAGGAGUAAUAUCAUCUCCCUAAGAUAUAAUGAGUAAUAUCACAGUGGGUGUACACAUAUGGUAUA
ensembl:miRNA